rnacentral:rRNA from 2 species
ACGGCCGCAAGGUUAAAACUCAAAUGAAUUGACGGGGGCCCGCACAAGCGGUGGAGCAUGUGGUUUAAUUCGAUGCAACGCGAAGAACCUUACCUGGUCUUGACAUCCACGGAAGUUUUCAGAGAUGAGAAUGUGCCUUCGGGAACCGUGAGACAGGUGCUGCAUGGCUGUCGUCAGCUCGUGUUGUGAAAUGUUGGGUUAAGUCCCGCAACGAGCGCAACCCUUAUCCUUUGUUGCCAGCGGUCCGGCCGGGAACUCAAAGGAGACUGCCAGUGAUAAACUGGAGGAAGGUGGGGAUGACGUCAAGUCAUCAUGGCCCUUACGACCAGGGCUACACACGUGCUACAAUGGCGCAUACAAAGAGAAGCGACCUCGCGAGAGCAAGCGGACCUCAUAAAGUGCGUCGUAGUCCGGAUUGGAGUCUGCAACUCGACUCCAUGAAGUCGGAAUCGCUAGUAAUCGUGGAUCAGAAUGCCACGGUGAAUACGUUCCCGGGCCUUGUACACACCGCCCGUCACACCAUGGGAGUGGGUUGCAAAAGAAGUAGGUAGCUUAACCUUCGGGAGGGCGCUUACCACUUUGUGAUUCAUGACUGGGGUGAAGUCGUAACAAGGUAACCGUAGGGGAACCUGCGGUUGGAUC